GUCCUAGCCCUAAACGGUGCUUGCUUGCUGUAAGAGGAAUCGACCCCUCUUGUGGCGGAGCUAACGCGUUAAGCAAGCCGCCUGGGAAGUACGGUCGCAAGAUUAAAACUCAAAGAAAUUGACGGGGCCUGCACAAGCGGUGGAGUAUGUGGCUUAAUUCGAUGCAACGCGAAGAACCUUACCUGGCCUUGACAUGCACAUAGUAGAAGCCUGAAAGGGUGACGAGGUAGCAAUACCAGUGUGCACAGGUGCUGCAUGGCUGUCGU
rnacentral:rRNA from 1 species